UUAAAUUGAAGAGUUUGAUCAUGGCUCAGAUUGAACGCUGGCGGCAGGCCUAACACAUGCAAGUCGAACGGUAACAGGAAGCAGCUUGCUGCUUUGCUGACGAGUGGCGGACGGGUGAGUAAUGUCUGGGAAACUGCCUGAUGGAGGGGGA
rnacentral:rRNA from 7 species